rnacentral:misc_RNA from 1 species
UACGUAGGAUCCGAGCGUUGUCCGGAUUUACUGGGCGUAAAGGGCGAGUAGGCGGCUUGUCAAGUCCCAUGUGAAAUCUCCCGGCUCAACUGGGAGGGGUCAUGGGAUACUGGCAGGCUCGAGGACAGCAGAGGGAAGCGGAAUUCCAGGAGUAGUGGUGAAAUGCGUAGAUACCUGGAGGAACACCAGUGGCGAAGGCGGCUUCCUGGGCUGCUCCUGACGCUAAGGCGCGAAAGCAUGGGGAGCAAACCGG